rnacentral:rRNA from 1 species
AUGAAGGGCCUCAUAGUUCGGCUGUGGCCUAAGGAAGCCAUGCCUGGGAGCUAUUUCGGGCUGGUGAGGCGGCUGGUGGACGCCUGUCCAUGGAUUGAAGUCAUCAAGCGCUUCGUCUGUAUCGAAGGUGCCCGUAGGGCCCUUGCCCGUGCUAAAGUGCAUUGGGGCAAGAUGGACACUGAGAAGCUUGUGAAGGAUGCUCCACCGCUGGGCAGGGAGUACCGCAAGCCCGAAAUGUAUUAUGUGGGCAUCCUGAAGGGUGCCCGCCUUAUAGCGGGUGAAUGCUCCAAAGAUGUAAUUUUUGAGUAA